AUUGAACGCUGGCGGCAGGCCUAACACAUGCAAGUCGAGCGGAUGAAGGGAGCUUGCUCCUGGAUUCAGCGGCGGACGGGUGAGUAAUGCCUAGGAAUCUGCCUGGUAGUGGGGGAUAACGUCCGGAAACGGGCGCUAAUACCGCAUACGUCCUGAGGGAGAAAGUGGGGGAUCUUCGGACCUCACGCUAUCAGAUGAGCCUAGGUCGGCUUAGCUAGUUGGUGGGGUAAAGGCGUACCAAGGCGACGAUCCGUAACUGGUCUGAGAGGAUGAUCAGUCACACUGGAACUGAGACACGGUCCAGACUCCUACGGGAGGCAGCAGUGGGGAAUAUUGGACAAUGGGCGAAAGCCUGAUCCAGCCAUGCCGCGUGUGUGAAGAAGGUCUUCGGAUUGUAAAGCACUUUAAGUUGGGAGGAAGGGCAGUAAGUUAAUACCUUGCUGUUUUGACGUUACCAACAGAAUAAGCACCGGCUAACUUCGUG
rnacentral:rRNA from 1 species